GGUGGUAUAGCGUAGUGGUCAAGCAGCCGGGCUAGCAUGCAGUAGUUGUGGGCUCAAUUCCCAGCUUCCACCG
rnacentral:tRNA from 1 species